GAGUAACACGUAGGCAACCUGCCCUCAAGUUUGGGACAACUACCGGAAACGGUAGCUAAUACCGAAUAAUUGUUUUCUUCGCCUGAAGGAAACUGGAAAGACGGAGCAAUCUGUCACUUGGGGAUGGGCCUGCGGCGCAUUAGCUAGUUGGUGAGGUAACGGCUCACCAAGGCGACGAUGCGUAGCCGACCUGAGAGGGUGAUCGGCCACACUGGGACUGAGACACGGCCCAGACUCCUACGGGAGGCAGCAGUAGGGAAUCUUCCGCAAUGGGCGAAAGCCUGACGGAGCAAUGCCGCGUGAGUGAUGAAGGUUUUCGGAUCGUAAAGCUCUGUUGCCAGGGAAGAACGCUUGGGAGAGUAACUGUUCUCAAGGUGACGGUACCUGAGAAGAAAGCCCCGGCUAACUACGUGCCAGCAGCCGCGGUAAUACGUAGGGGGCAAGCGUUGUCCGGAAUUAUUGGGCGUAAAGCGCGCGCAGGCGGUCAUUUAAGUCUGGUGUUUAAUCGCGGGGCUCACCCCCGGAUCGCACUGGAAACUGGGUGACUUGAGUGCAAAAGAGGAGAGUGGAAUUCCACGUGUAGCGGUGAAAUGCGUAGAUAUGUGGAGGAAC
rnacentral:rRNA from 1 species